UCAAAAGAUGAGAAAAAAUAUAUGAUUAGCUCUAGAUCGGGAGUCGCAAUUGCGGCGGUGACGUAUAAGCAUGUAUUAGCUGAUGA
rnacentral:snoRNA from 1 species